AAUAAUAGGAUCAUACUUGUACUAUUACAUAUGUAAAAUGUAUUCAUAGUUUCCUCUUCCUUCAGCAAAAAAUUAUUCAUGAAAAAGAUAAAUUUCUCAUCAGCUUCCAGGAAAAUUGUGCAUCCUACAAUUGAGGAUAAUUCAAUAAUUUUGUGAAUGUAAAAUGACAAUAUAUUAUAUCUGAAUAUGCGAAGAGCUUCAAUGACAAAUGUCUCUAACUCAAUCACCACCACCUUGGCUGGCUGGUAGAGAAAACAGCCUCCCAUUUUACAGGCGAAGAAUGUGAGACCAAAACAGAGGUCUGAAAAUUAUAACCUGCCAGUUAAUUUCAUCCCACCACCUGUUUUUACAUUUUUAAUUCAGUGAUAACUAUCAAAGAAUAAUAAUAUUUCAUGACACAUGAAAAUAAUAUGAAAUUCAAAUUGUGCUAUUCAUAAUAAAAUUUUAUUGAAACAGCUAAUGCUCAUUCAUUUAUAUAUUGCUUAUAGCAGCUUCCAUGCUACAAUAACAGAAAUGAGCAGUGGUGGUAGAGAUUGCAUGACUGGGAAAGUUUAAAAUAUUUACUCUUUUCCAGGAGUUCUCAUCGUGGCGCAACGGAGACUAGGAACCAUGAGGUUAUGGGUUUGAUCCCUGGCCCCCCUCAGUGGGUUAAGGAUCUGGUAUUGCCGUGAGCUGUGGGGUAGGUCACAGAUGUGGCUUGGAUCUGGCAUUGCUGUGGCUCUGGCAUAGGCUGGCAGCUGUAGCUUCGAUUAGACCUCUAGCCUGGGAACCUCCAUAUGCAGCAAGUGUGACCCUAAAUUAAUUAAUUAAUUGAUUAAUAUAAAAUAUUUACUCUUUUCCCAUUAAGAAAAAGUUUGCUAAUCCUUGCUGUAAAGUGUUAAAUGGCACCCAAUUCCAUAUACUUAGUUAGCCGGAAAAAUGUCAUAAGACCCCUGCUUCAGAACAUAAAUCAUUUCAUUAUAUUUCCCAUGGAAUAAUGAUAAAUAUUAUAAUCUAUGCAUGUUUUUACUUCCUCUUUCUAUUUGAGCCAGCACAUUGUUUUGGAAAAUAAAAUCUCAUAAAACCUUUACUUGGAAUAUCCUUCCUCUAUUCUUGAUCUGCUUUAACUCUUACAAAUCCUCCAAGUCUCAGAUUAGAUAUUGCCUCCUGAAAUACCCGCCCCAAUCAAAAUUGAGUUACCUUUUCCAUCCCAACAGGACCCAGCACUUCCAGUUCACGGCGUUCAUCAAUAGAGUGCUGUGAACUGGGCAGGAUCUUAGCAAUCAUAUAAUCCAGGAGUCAGAAAACUUUCUGUAAAGGGACAAAUACAGUUGUCCCUUCAUAGCUAAGGGGGAUUUGUUCCAGGACCCUCUGCAAUACCAAAAUCUGCUUAUGUUCAAGUCCCUUACAUAAAAUGACACAGUAUUUGUAUAUAACCCAUGCACAUCUUCCUGUACACUUUAAAUCAUCUCUAGAUUAUUUAUAAUACCUAAUACAAUGUAUAAGCUGUGUAAAUAGUUGGUGUGCCACAAAUCCAAGUUUUGCUUUUUGGAACUUUCUAGAAUUUUUUUUUUUUUUUUCGUUUUAGGGCUGCACCUGCAACGUAUUGAAGUUCCCAGGCUAGGGGUCAUAUUGGAGCUGCAGCUGCUGCCCUCUGCCACAGCCACAGCAAUGCCAAACCCAAGCUGCAUCUGCGACCUACGCUGAUCCUUAACCCACUGAGCAAGGCCAGGGAUAGAACCUGCAUUCUCACAGAUACUGGUCUGGUUCUUAACCCACUAACCCACAACAGGAACUUCCUUUCUGGAAUUUUUUAAAAAAUAUUUUUAAUCUGUUGGUUGAAUCCACAGGUGCAAAACCCAUGGAUACAGAGGGCCGACAUUUUUAAUCUAGGAUUUGAGUAUGUUAGGUUUGCUUAAGACAUGGCGUAUUUUUGCUUGAGGCACAGAAUUCCAAAGUAGUACUUCCCUUAAGCCAAUGGUUUUCAAAUUUUAGGUGUCCAAGAAUCAUUUAGAGAGACUGUAGGUAUGCAGAUUCCUGAAUCCCACCCUAGAACCUCUGAACCAGAAUCUCUCGGGUAAAACCAAGGGAAUUUCAAUCUUAAAAGUUUCUCCCUCAUGUAAUUUCUUCGCAAUCCAUCUCUGGAGGCUUUUGUUGUCAUGGAAUUGAACUUCUGUAAUUAAUGGUAAAGAUAUUAUGAUUUCAUGGGAAAGACUAUUCAGUAAAGAGUAAAUGACAGUGUGUCAAAAAUGAUUGUUUUCUUGCUAAUGUUUCUAAGUGUAUAUUUUUCCAGUAUUUUCCAGAUGCUGAUCACCAUCCAGGAUUUCAAGUUUUUAAGUUACAAUUGAGUCUUGUUUUAUUUUGAAGCAGUUUGUAUAAUCUUAAAAAAUCAGGAGUUUUCAUGGUGGCUCAGUGGGUUAAGAGCUGACUAGCAUCCAUGAGGAUGCGGAUUCGAUCCCUGCCCUCUCUCAGAGGGUUAAAAGCUCUGGCGUUGCCACAUGUAGAUUGCAGACAGGGCUCAGACAUGGUGUUGCUGUGGCUGUGGCAUAGGCCAGCAGGUAUGGCUCCGAUUGGACCCCUAGCUGAGAACUUCCACAUGCCACAUGUGUGGCCCUCAAAAGAAAAAAAAUCAAACAGUUCCUUAAAUAUGCAGAGUAUCAUGAAUUCAAAGUCUCUUUAUAUUUGGUACCCCAAUUUGCAGACAAGGUCCAUUAAUAAUCGUUAGCAAUGAAUAUAUGCCAGGUACUGACAGGGGCACAGUAUUUAAGAAAUUAAAAUUUUCAUUCUCCCUACAGUCCAGCAAAAUAUUGCCUACUGAAAGAUAUUUUCAACCAUAGCAUUUGCAAGCCCUGAUCACUGGACCGAACUAUACUAUUAGCAUGUAUGCCUGUCCAGAUGCUCAUGAAUGAAAUACUAACUCUUCCUCCCUCCUAAAAAAGAACCAAUUUUUCAAGCUUUAAUGUAAAAAGACUGGGAGCCAUAGAUAAAAGCUAAUUAACUGAACAUUUACUAUGUACCAGACACUGCACUUUAAAUAUCAGCAUCCAUUCCUUGUCAUGACAGCCUGUUGUGGAAGUUCCAUUAUCACCCUCAUUAUCCAAAUGAGAAAAUGAGAUUAACCAUCCAAGGACACAGAGCUGUUAAAUAACAGAGAGGAUAUUUGGACUUGAGAUAUCUGACUCCAAAUUCUAUGAUACAUGUUUUCCCAAAAACUAUGAGAUCCCGAUGAACUGGAAUGAGCAACGGGCUCAGAUCCAAGAGGCAAAUGUUCUUGUUUCAGCUGUGACACCAAGCAACUGGAUAAUUCUGACCGUGUUUCUUUACCAUCUUUGCGUUUACAUUUCCUCUUCUACAAAGAAUCGUAAUUGGACUACUAGAUGAAUAAUAAAACUGCUUCCAACACUAAUAUACCAUGAUUUAAGAACAGACACUUUGCACAAAAAGAGGACUGGAAAGACAAUGGGAGCCAUCUGGAUGUAAAAAUGAUGAAUGGCAAAAGCUGUUGGAGGGGAUAGUCUCAGAUUAGCAUUCAGUGCCAGAGGGUCCACACACCCCAUUGCCAGUCUCCUGCAAAUUGCCUGCAGCUGCGCUGAUCUAGAGGCCAUUUAGAGUGCAGAACCCUUAACAAAUUGUUCAAGGUAUUUAGUCUUGAGUUUCCCUGAAGCCUAUCUAGCCCCAUAAAAUUAAAUGUCUUUUUAUUUGCCAACUUUGUUGUCAAAGAGCAACAAAGUUUGUUUUCAUUUUUUGUUUUUCUUUUUUGGGUUUUUUUGGUUGUUUGAACUCAAUUAUCACUUCAUUUUAGAGAAGAAUGAUGUCUUUGCAAAUUCAUUCUUGAGUAGCUGACUGUGGAGGAUUUUCAUUUCAGUCCAAAAAAUGAAAAUUAUCUAAAGAAAUAACCUUUGAUUAAUCUACAAAAUAUAUAAACAGCUCAUGUAGCUCAUUAUCAAAAACAAACAACCCAAUCAAAAAAUGGACAGGUGAUCUAAAUAGACAUACCUCCAAAGAAGACAGAUGACCAAAAAGCACAUGAAAAGAUGCUCAAUGUUGCUAAUUAUUAGACAAAUGCAAAUCUAAACUACAAUGAUGUAUCACCUCACACUGGUCAUAAUGGUCAUCAUCAAAAAACCCAUAAGUAACAAAUCCUGGAAAGGGUGUGGAAAAAAAGGGAACCACCCUACAUUAUUAGUGGGAAUAUAAACUGGUGCAGCCACUAUGGAACAAGGUACAGAAGUUCCUCAAAAAAGUAAAUAUAGCACUACCAUAUGAUCUAGCAAUCCCACUCCUGGGCAUAUAUCUGAAGAAAACUAUAAUCCAAAAAAAAUACAUGCACCCCAAUGUUCAUUGCAGCUCUAUCUACAAUAGCCAAGACAUGAAAGCAAUCUAAAUGUCCAUCCACAGAGAAAUGGAUAAAGAAAAUGUGUACAUAUAUAUAUAUACAAUGGAAUAUUACUCAGCCAUAAAAAAUAAGGAAAUAAUGCCAUUUGCAGCAACACAGGUAGUUGCAGGAGAAUCUAGAGAUUAUACUAAGUAAUGGUAAUCAGACUUAAGAGGUCAUAUAAAGACAAAUAUCAUAUAUCACUUACAUGUGGAAUCUAAUAAAAAAUGAUACAAAAGGACUUAUUUAUAAAACAGAAACUCACAGAUUUCAAAACCAAUCUUAUAAUUACCACAGGGGAUAAUGUGGCUGGGAGGGAGGAAUUAGGAGGAUGGGAAUAAUACAUUCACACUAAUAUAUAAAAUAGGUAAUUAACAAGGACCUACUAUACAGCACAGGGAAAUCUACUCAAGAGCUUGUAAUAACAUAUAUGGGGACAAAAGAAUGGAUAUAUGUAUAUGUAUAACUGAGUUACUUUGAUGUACACCCGAAACUAACACAACAUUGUAAAUCAACUAUACU
rnacentral:lncRNA from 1 species